AGAAUCAACGCUGGCGGCGUGCCUAACACAUGCAAGUCGAACGAGAAAGGGGAGCAAUCCCUGAGUAAAGUGGCGACCGGGUGAGUAACACGUGACUAACCUACCUUCGAGUGGGGGAUAACCUCGGGAAACCGAGGCUAAUACCGCAUAACAUCGUGAGAUCAAAGCAGUAAUGCGCUGGAAGAGGGGGUCGCGGCUGAUUAGCUAGUUGGCGGGGUAAUGGCCCACCAAGGCGAAGAUCGGUAGCCGGCCUGAGAGGGCGCACGGCCACACUGGAACUGAAACACGGUCCAGACUCCUACGGGAGGCAGCAGUGGGAAUUUGCGCAAUGGGGGAAACCCUGACGCAGCAACGCCGCGUGGAGGAUGAAGUCCCUUGGGACGUAAACUCCUUUCGACCAAGACGAUAAUGACGGUACUGGUGGAAGAAGCACCGGCUAACUCUGCGCCAGCAGCCGC
rnacentral:rRNA from 1 species